UUGGAGGGCAAGUCUGGUGCCNGCAGCCGCGGUAAUUCCAGCUCCAAUAGCGUAUAUUAAAGUUGUUGCAGUUAAAAAGCUCGUAGUUGAAUUUCGGGAUCAAUAUGUUGGUCGUGCCUUGGUACGUACUGGCAUCGUUGAUUUCUACCUUCUGAAGAACCUCGAUGUCAUUAAUUUGGUGUCUUGGGGAAUCAGGACUGUUACUUUGAAAAAAUUAGAGUGUUUAAAGCAAGCUCACGCUUGAAUACAUUAGCAUGGAAUAAUGAAAUAGGACCGUUUGAUUCUAUUUUGUUGGUUUCUAGGAUCGACGUAAUGAUUAAUAGGGAUAGUUGGGGGCAUUAGUAUUCAAUUGUCAGAGGUGAAAUUCUUGGAUUUAUUGAAGACUAACUACUGCGGAAAGCAUUUGCCAAGGAUGUUUUCAUUAAUCAAGAACGAAAGUUAGGGGAUCGAAGACGAUCAGAUACCGUCGUAGUCUUAACCAUAAACUACGCCGACUAGGGAUCGGAUGAUGUUAAUUUUUUAAUGACUCAUUCGGCGCCCUUACGGGAAAAC
rnacentral:rRNA from 1 species